CAACCUACGGGGCGCAGCAGUGGGGAAUAUUGCACAAUGGGGGAAACCCUGAUGCAGCGACGCCGCGUGAGUGAAGAAGUAUUUCGGUAUGUAAAGCUCUAUCAGCAGGGAAGAAAAUGACGGUACCUGACUAAGAAGCCCCGGCUAACUACGUGCCAGCAGCCGCGGUAAUACGUAGGUGGCAAGCGUUGUCCGGAUUUAUUGGGUUUAAAGGGUGCGUAGGCGGUCCGUUAAGUCAGCGGUAAAAUUGCGGGGCUCAACCCCGUCGAGCCGUUGAAACUGGCAGACUUGAGUUGGCGAGAAGG
rnacentral:rRNA from 1 species